GCAUCGUGUCUGUCACUUGUCCUUUGUUUAUGUCUGGGAGAACGCGAUCGGUCCUUUCAUUCCGAGGCGCCUCCCCGGCAGGAUGUUUACUCCAAGUAUCUACUCUCAUCGAUGGUGUCUUCGUGGAUCUUGUGUCUUUACAAAGAUGUCUGCUACAACUCCAUUGUUGAGAAGAGGUGGCCGGAGUUCGUUGCAAGAUUCCAGAAUUUGGGUGUCUGGAUGAUCAGACCAAAAUGAAUGUAUACUGAGGAAUGGCUGAACUCCACAUACCCCAAAGCAACGUAAUUGUGUGUGAACCCUAAUUGCAGUAUAGAAAUGUGCUGGCGUUAAGAUGCAGAUUGGGGGAAACCUGUGUUUUCUUGUCGGCUUCUGCAAAUGAUGGAUCGACCUUAUGCACAGCUGGUCUAAGAACCAUAUCUUAGAUUCUUUCGAAGAUGUGGACUUGACUAUGACGAAAUGGAUGAAAGCAGAUGAUAAGUUGCAUUAGUUGUUAAAUGCACUUGCUUGUCUCUUUUUUUCUAAAUGUAACCAAUGAUCCGUUCAUCCAAUAAAGGAGAUAAAAUGAAAAA
rnacentral:lncRNA from 1 species